rnacentral:rRNA from 1 species
UACAGAGGUGGCAAGCGUUGCUCGGUGUCACUGGGCUUAAAGGGCGCGUAGGCGGCGUGGCGCGGUUCGUGUGAAAUCCCUCGGCCCAACCGAGGAAUUGCACGGGCGACGGCCAUGCUUGGCUGCAUCAGGGGAAGAUGGAACUCCCGGUGGAGCGGUGAAAUGCGUAGAUAUCGGGAGGAACGCCGGUGGCGAAAGCGAUCUUCUGGGGUGCAAGCGACGCUGAGGCGCGAAAGCUAGGGGAGCAAAC